GGGCCCGCACAAGCGGUGGAGCAUGUGGUUUAAUUCGAUGAUACGCGAGGAACCUUACCAGGGCUUAAAUGUAGUAUGACCGGUCUAGAAAUAGGCCUUCCCUUCGGGGCAGAUUACAAGGUGCUGCAUGGUUGUCGUCAGCUCGUGCCGUGAGGUGUUAGGUUAAGUCCUGCAACGAGCGCAACCCCUAUUCUUAGUUGCCAGCGGUUCGGCCGGGGACUCUAAGAAGACUGCCAGCGCAAGCUGAGAGGAAGGUGGGGAUGACGUCAAAUCAUCACGGCCCUUACGUCCUGGGCUACACACGUGCUACAAUGGUACAGACAGAGGGCAGCCACCUGGCGACAGGGAGCGAA
rnacentral:rRNA from 1 species